AUUGAACGCUGGCGGCAUGCUUUACACAUGCAAGUCGAACGGUAACAGGCCGCAAGGUGCUGACGAGUGGCGAACGGGUGAGUAAUGCAUCGGAACGUGCCCAGUCGUGGGGGAUAACGCAGCGAAAGCUGUGCUAAUACCGCAUACGAUCUAUGGAUGAAAGCGGGGGACCGUAAGGCCUCGCGCGAUUGGAGCGGCCGAUGUCAGAUUAGGUAGUUGGUGGGGUAAAGGCCUACCAAGCCGACGAUCUGUAGCUGGUCUGAGAGGACGACCAGCCACACUGGGACUGAGACACGGCCCAGACUCCUACGGGAGGCAGCAGUGGGGAAUUUUGGACAAUGGGCGCAAGCCUGAUCCAGCAAUGCCGCGUGCAGGAAGAAGGCCUUCGGGUUGUAAACUGCUUUUGUACGGAACGAAACGGUCCGGGUUAAUACCCUGGGCUAAUGACGGUACCGUAAGAAUAAGCACCGGCUAACUACGUGCCAGCCGCCGCGGUAACAC
rnacentral:rRNA from 1 species